UACGAAGGGGGCUAGCGUUGUUCGGAAUUACUGGGCGUAAAGGGUUUGUAGGCGGUUACACAAGUCAGUUGUGAAAGCCCGGGGCUUAACCCCGGAAUUGCCAUUGAAACUGUAUAGCUAGAGAGUGUUAGAGGAAAGUGGAAUUCCUAGUGUAGGAGUGAAAUCCGUAGAGAUUAGGAGGAAUAUCGAUGGCGAAGGCAGCUUUCUGGGACAUUUCUGACGCUGAGAAACGAAAGCGUGGGUAGCAAACAGG
rnacentral:rRNA from 1 species